rnacentral:lncRNA from 1 species
GGGGGGGGGGUGUAUAAGGUUUGGAUUUUCAGAAGUUAAAAGAGGAAACGUUUUGGAGAGAAAAUUUCAGAGAUUUUCGGAGAAGAAAAAACAAGAAAAAAAGGUUCUAGGUUUUCUUUCCUUUUUUUUUUUGAAAUUUUCAGGUUUUUCGUUUCAGUUUAAAUUCCAAGAAAACACAAAAAAUACUCGAAUUUUCUUCUUUCUAUUUGAGUUCAAUUCUCUUGUUUCAAAAAUGGAUUGCGUUUGAGGCGUUUGGAGUUGACGAACGUGAAGUGUCAUUUGGGGUUCAAGCUCUUGAUUUCUGGUUCAGUUUUGGUCGUACUCAUCCAAUUCUAAUUCAUUGCCGGAUUCUCUUGAUUGUAUAUCCGAAGCCGAAUUUAUUGAAAAGAUUUUCAUCUCAGGUUCAUCCCUUGCUUUUUUUAUUAUCUUAUUUUGGGUGUUGAUUUGAAUGUGAUAAGAGCCCUGGUUAAUUAGCUUUGGGGGUUUGUUUAAGAGUUAGGUUAAAUAAAAUAAUCAGGAAGUGAUUUAAGAGGGUGUGUGGUACAGUUUACAAAUGCUGAUGAAAAUUUUGGUUCAUGUCUGCUUGGUUCUAUGUUAAAAGAUUGGAGUAACUGACUUUAUCUUUGAAGAUUAGGCUUAAUACUAAUGCUUCAGUUAUUUUUCAUUUUGAAGAAAUCCUGUUUGUGUUCUGGUGCCAUGGAAUGCUUAAUUAGUUAAUGAUUUUGGACAUUAUAGGCUAGCUUGUUAUUAACCUGAUCUAAUGAACUAGGUGUAUAAAUGCAUUUUACGUUCAUUGUUAAGUCCAGAGGGUUGCUCUGAUGGUAACCAACCUCCACUUCCAACUAAGAGAUUGUGAGUUCGAAUCACCCCAAGAGCAAGGGGAGUUUUUGGAGGGAAGGAUACCGGGGUCUAUUGAAAACAGCCUCUACCUUCAUGGUAGGGGUAAGGUCUGCGUACACACUACCCUCCCCAUACCCCACUAGUAGAUUAUACUGGGUUGUUGUUGUUGUUAAUAUCUGUCAAGUUGGUUUCCCCUCUAACAUGACAAUAGCUAUC